AGGAUUAGAUACCCUAUUAUAUAAAGUUUUAAUGUUCGAUGAGCUAGUAGUUGUAUUUUAUGAAAUUAAUUUAAGUUGGCGGCAAUUUUGUGAAUAGAGGAACCUGUUGUUUAAAUCGAUAGACCACGUUUUACCUUACUUAGAUUUUUUGUUUGUAAAUUUAUAUACCGUUGUUUUAUUUUUCUUUUGAGGGGAGAGAUAAUAAAGAUUAAAGUGUAGAAUUGUUCAUAGUUCGAAUUAUCUUUUAUUUCAAAUAAAGGUGUAGUUUAAUUAUCUAUAGGAUUAAUGGGUUACUAUAACUUUGUUACUUAGUUUUUGGGUUGAAAGAUUAGUUUGAGUAGGAUUUAUUUGUAGGGUUAAAUUAGUGAGUUAAUUUGAAUAUUUAAUUGAAUUGUGUACA
rnacentral:rRNA from 1 species